rnacentral:lncRNA from 1 species
UUUAAUGCUGUGUUGUGUUGACUCUAGAUCCCAUUGAUGUCUUCAUACUGAUAGACAAAACUGGAACCAUUCAUAAAGUGAAGUAAAGCCAUCCAGUGACAAUGAUAACAAUAUUCUCAUUUCUUACCAAGAAUGCUCCCAGAGAAUCUGGCAAGCAUGACAGGAUGGAGAAUACACUUGGUGACAUAUUCGAGAUUCUUCUAGAUCCAGCCUGCUCCCACCUCACCAGGUCCUCAGGCAGAAGAAGCUGUUGUUAAACCUCUGUCUGAGUUGAUUGCCUUUCAUUCCCAUCUUAUUCCAGUAAGCCGGUGCCCAGUGUGUGUGAUUGAAUUAUAAUUAAAGCAGCAUUCAUCCUCUAAAGGGAGACACAAUGAAACGACAGAUGGAGUGAAGUGUGCUCUGAUGGCAUGUGAGCAAUUGUCACCAAAUAGAUUUAAGAUGUGAUCUUUUAUAGUCUCAACCACAAAUGUUCUUUUAAAAACAAGAAAUAAAAAAAAAUUCCAAAC